UAAAAAUAAAACCAUUUUACCACAAACUAACCGACAUACCCUUACUCCCUCAUAUUAAAACAACACCAAAUCAGUACACCUUACACCCCUUCCCCAUUUCUUUCUUCAUCCUCAUCUUUUAUUCCUUCAAUCUCUCAACACUGCCUCCUUCCCUCUUCUCUCACGUUCCACUCCCCUCACCCACAGCGGCGGCACAACCAAGCUCAGCCACGAGCUCCACCACCAACAGCAACUACUUCUCCUCCUUCCUUUAUUGUUGUUCAUCAAGAUUGAAAGUUGAAGGGUCCUUCAAUGGUGAUUGAGGACCUAUCUCUUACAGGGGAUAGAUCCACUUUCAGGUUGCCAUCUUUAGUGCGGAUGGAUGUGCUGCUCGUUUAUGUGUCAUGUGUUGCGAUUGCGAGGACAUCGUUUUCGGAAGGUUAACUUAUAAUGAUAUUUUGACAAACCAUGUCUUUUAAUAAAAAAAAUAGAUAUUUUAUAAUGUAUUAAUUUAGUUUAUAACUGGGUUGUAAGUAAUUGUAUUACAGUUAUGUAAAGUUUUUAAAUACUCUGAUAUUGGUUGCUGUGGUUAUCGAACCACAGGUCGGAUUCAGCCCAGACUUCUAUAAGUCUUCCGCUGUGCUUUGUAGACAAUAAUAAUAUAUUGUUUACGCUGGUUUGGGCUGUUUCAAUUGGUAUCAGAGCUUGGUUGUUUCUGGAGUACUCGAAUCCUCAUAUUCGAGUACAAAACUUUAAAAAGGAAAAAAAAAAAAAAAAAAAAGAAAAUUCGAAAAUUCGAGAGAGUGCGGUAGUCGUGUCUUAGGGUAUAUCUUUUGAGAAUCAAAUGGUAUUAAUGUGACUAUGUGUUAUAUGUGUGAUGUGUAGCGUUUUUAUGGGCUAAGGAAAUCUUGAAGUUUCUUUACGUGUUGUGAAUCCUUUUUUAGUAAGAAUCAUGCCGAAGGUCAAGAGUUAAGUCCGAAUUAUGAAUUUAGAACUUUGAAGUUUGGUGAAAGGAGUUUUAAAGGAUAUUAAAGUUAAUCUAGGAAUUUUUCGUUUGAAUCUUGAUUGGUGGAUUUACUUGAUUUUAUGUGAAAUAUUGUGUGAUUAUUUACAUGUCAUGUUUAAAAAAAAAUAGUUGUUUUUAAAAGAUCUCAAAAUUUCAACUUGAUAUAUAUAUAUAUACUCGAGUCAAGUAUUCUUGAAAUUGUUUUACAAAAGAUAUUAUAUUUACUCGGAUAACUGGCAAAAGGAGUUGAGGACCAAACUUAUCGAGAGUUGCGAUGAUAUUGUGCAAGAAUGAUUCGAUGCAAAGAGUUUAAAAGAAACAUUUUGGGAAUAUUGAAAGUUAUGCGUUAAUUGUGUGUUAAGACUGAAAAUCUAUAAAGGAAUAAAGAAUGUAGAAAAAGUAUUUGUGACAUGUUCAAUUAUGGGAUGAGAUAUUUUAAUUAAAGAAAGUUUCGAAAGGAAGCAAAUGUUAAUGCAAUUAAUAGUAACUUAAAGUUAUGUUGUAGUAAGUUUGAUUGAAUGGCCUAUACGUAUUGAGGAUAUGAUUGAGAAAGCUUUCAACAGUUUUUAAUGAAUGAAUGAUAACUUUGGGACUCUAUAAAGGUUUUAUUGAUGAUAAAAUGUGAAUUAAGGAAAAAGUGAUCAAUUGGAAGUUUAAAGAAUACUUAAAUUGUGAGAACUUUGACUUUGUAAGUGAGGAAAUGUUUGAUUAUUAAAGGUUAAAGAAAAAAAUUUGGGAUUGUAUCAAACUAUUAAUGGUAAAACGUGAGUAUAAUAGGAUAAUGGUUUAGAAAAAAUAAAUAAUACGAAAUUGAAUGUCAAAAGGUUAUUGAAGUUAUUUCGGAUGAAUUUGUUAUGGAAUUUGAAGUUUUAAGCGUUAAAUGAAGAGUAUGGUUAUAAAUGUUAUAAUUCGAAGUAAGUUGACAAUGAUCGAGUUUUUAGUUAUUAAAAGUUGAUAGAAAAAUGAUUGUGGAUAUCUUUAAUGAAUACGAGAUUCAAUAAAUAACUUUAGGUAUUCAUCUCAAAGUAUCUCGGGAGUUAUAAGAGUUUUAAUAAGAAAUUUAAUUGUAAUUGGGAAACAACAAGUAAGUUGAUGAUUCAAUAUCUCAAAGGUUGAAAUGACAAAAUAUGUAAUUAAAGGUAUAAAAGAUUUUGAAAUAAGGUGGUUGAUUUAAAGUACAUGUGAACGAUCACGUAAAGUAAAUCGAGGUUGAAGUUUCAAAUUUAAAGGUUUGAAGUAAUUCAAUUGAGGUUAGUUGUGUUACCAAUAUGUAAUUCAUCUCAUAUGAUCGAAAAUUUAUAGAUAUAGUAAGUCUUGAAUCAAAGCUAGGGAGUAACUAAAGUUUAUUUGGUUCUCAUUUCACGAAAUUUGAGUUAUAUGUUAUGACUAAGGAUGAUCAGAAGUGUAUGUAUAAUUUCGGGGACGAAAUUAUUUUAAGUUGGGGAGAAUGAAAUAGGCUACAUUUAAUAAAGCUUAAUUAUAAGUGAUUAAGCUGAUUGAGGUUAUUAAGUAUGUUAAUUCGAGUAAUAAUAUUAUUAUUUUGAUAAUCUUGACUCGAGUAUUUCAUUUGUUAACAUUUUCAAGAAAGAGGUAUAUUUUAUUUAAUGUAUAAGAUUCGUACAAAGAAUACUUCGAUAAAAGUGUAUUUUGAUUAUAUUUAUUAAUUGAUUACUAUCUUAUCUUUAUAAAAAUAAAUUUAAAUAAAGUAUUGAAAAAUAAAUUCCUAAAUGUAAUCUUUAUUUAUACUACCAAUUACUUAUUUCAUAAAUCGUCUAUUGUACCCUUACAGCAUGUCUUAUAUAAAAUUGUCUUACGACGAGACAACUUUAAUAGAAUUUAAUAGGUCAAAGCUAAAAAUAAAACCAUUUUACCACAAACUAACCGACAUACCCUUACUCCCUCAUAUUAAAACAACACCAAAUCAGUACACCUUACACCCCUUCCCCAUUUCUUUCUUCAUCCUCAUCUUUUAUUCCUUCAAUCUCUCAACACUGCCUCCUUCCCUCUUCUCUCACGUUCCACUCCCCUCACCCACAGCGGCGGCACAACCAAGCUCAGCCACGAGCUCCACCACCAACAGCAACUACUUCUCCUCCUUCCUUUAUUGUUGUUCAUCAAGAUUGAAAGUUGAAGGGUCCUUCAAUGGUGAUUGAGGACCUAUCUCUUACAGGGGAUAGAUCCACUUUCAGGUUGCCAUCUUUAGUGCGGAUGGAUGUGCUGUUCGUUUAUGUGUCAUGUGUUGCGAUUGCGAGGACAUCGUUUUCGGAAGGUUAACUUAUAAUGAUAUUUUGACAAACCAUGUCUUUUAAUAAAAAAAAAUAGAUAUUUUAUAAUGUAUUAAUUUAGUUUAUAACUGGGUUGUAAGUAAUUGUAUUACAGUUAUGUAAAGUUUUUAAAUACUCUGAUAUUGGUUGCUGUGGUUAUCGAACCACAGGUCGGAUUCAGCCCAGACUUCUAUAAGUCUUCCGCUGUGCUUUGUAGACAAUAAUAAUAUAUUGUUUACGCUG